AUGGGGCGGCCGCCGAGCAGCGGGGGCCCCGCGUUCCGGUUCACGCACGCGGAGGUGGCGGAGAUGGAGGAGCACCUCCGCCACCUCAACAAUGCCAUCCCGCAGCGCAACGUCAUCCAGGGCCUCGCCGAGAAGUUCACCGCCUCCGCCGCCCGCGCCGGCAAGAUCCCCGUCCAGUACAAGCAGGUCUGGAACUGGUUCCAGAACCGGAGGUACUCGCAGCGGGCCAGGACCCCCAGGGGCGCGCCGCCGCCGCAGGGGAAGAUGCUGCCCACGGGGGCCGAGGAACACCACCCGGCCUCCUUCAGGGCUCAGGGGUCUUCCUCUUCCUACCCCGGAUCCCACUCAGGUGGAAAGAGUGCUUCGGAUGGUGGCCAGGCCGAGUUUGAAGCAAAGUCAGCUAGAGAUGGCGCGUGGUAUGAUGUUGCUGCCUUUCUGUCCCACAGGCUCUUUGAAACAGGGGACCCGGAAGUAAAAGUUCGAUUUUCUGGAUUUGGGCCUGAGGAGGAUGAAUGGAUUAAUGUUCGUAAAUGUGUGCGGCUGCGGUCUCUUCCAUGUGAAUCUGCAGAAUGUGUUGCUGUGCUUCCUGGGGAUCUCAUUCUUUGUUUUCAGGAAGGCAAAGAGCAGGCCCUCUAUUUUGACGCUCGUGUUCUUGAUGCUCAAAGGCGCAGGCAUGAUGUAAGAGGGUGCCGCUGCAGGUUUCUUGUUCGGUAUGAUCAUGAUCACUCUGAGGAGAUUGUUCCUCUGAGGAAGGUAUGCCGUCGACCAGAAACUGAUUUCAGGCUCCAGAUCUUGCACGCAUCUAGAGCGGCGGCGUCUGCAGAUGCUCAGAAUGUUAGCCCAGUUGAGCAGAAACCCCAAAAGGCACACAAGAUGAUGGACGUGAACACUGCCGAGGUGACCGUGGUUUGCAACCCAGAUCAAGGAGGGCCAUCUGAUAAGCCGGCUGCUCCCUUACCAGCUGCGGCUGCUGGCACCCGCGGUGAUUCAGUUUCAGAUGUGCAGAUGGGGAAUGUGGAGGUUAUUCCAAAAGUUGAAGCUGCAAAUGAAGCACAUGACGACAAGAUGAACGUGGGAGCUUAG
rnacentral:rRNA from 1 species